UCAUAUCCUACCGUUUGCAUACUAGGCAGCUCCACUGCGGAUGGUGCCGGUCGCCCGCGGCGAUUUAUUUCGUUUGCGGUGUCGUUUCUGGCGUCCACUCGGUGGUGGCUGACCAACUUCACGGAGGGUCGCACUUCUCCCCUAGUAGAAACGUCGCGACCCGUUGGGUGCCGGCCGAAGGCCUGGGAAGGAAGCCCGCGCGUCCUGUGGUGGUUGCCACAGGCGUGCGGACUCCCGGUGACCCGGCCGGCUGCCCGACGGUAUGACCAGAGGAGCCGAUCCGCUGAAUGGGAAACACUGUGGUUUGUGAAGCGUG
rnacentral:rRNA from 1 species